rnacentral:lncRNA from 1 species
AAUAAGAACCAUACCAAAAAUAUUUAUGAAUUAGUACAACUAAUUGGACUACUUUUGUAUGAGACUGUAAUCAAGAAUGACGAUGGUAGGUGAUCUCAUAUUAUAUUAUAUUCGACUAAUAAAAUAAACAACAUGAACCCUCUCCUGGAGCGGGGGAUGGAAAGACACACGGCCUAGAGGAACUAUAUAAACAACAUGAACCCUCUCCUGCAUCCAUAGCUCUCGUGGCCGCCAUCUCUCACUGCAGUAAUCUCGCUCAUCCUCUUUUCUUUUUUUGGUAGCUGCCCACAGCCACAACACAAUAAAAACUAUCCUUGGGCUAAUGAAAAUAUAAGUGAAUACUGAAUCUUCUCAAUAGUAGAAGAGAGUUCAGUUAUCACCUCAGCUCACCUAGGAAGCAAUAACUUCCAUUUCCAAAAGAAAAAUGACCAGGAAAUGUAAGCCGCUAUUGGUUAGGUACAUGCAAAUGAUUAAUUAUUCAAGACUACUUUGGAAACAAUGCUCUGAGCAAUUAACAGUAAUAAACAGAGAACAAAAAGGAGCAAAACAAAGACAGGUUUUUUAGCUAAAAAAAGGAACCACCAAAUGCAGCGAUAGCAUGUGUGCAUUUUUCUCCAAAUUGCACAUGAGCUUUGACUAUAGGGAAGAGACAAAACUUCCCACGAACAAACGAAUGUCCACAAUAGCUGCAAGUUGCAUCUACUAUCAAAGGAACACUUCGCAUAUCUCAAAUAAAUAGUUAUGAUAACCGUGAUCUCAGGAAGAGUAGGAAGAUGCAUCUUAUACUCUAGAGUUCAGAUAUAUCAAAAAUUCAUUUCAUCAGACCUCUUUGGAGUUAAACUGUUAAAGGGCACUGUUAAACUAAACAGUCGUUCUUAUCCUGUAACAUGCUACUACUUGCACCCCUCUUACUCCUGACACUAUGAACUCCAGUUCAUGUGGCGUACUUUAUGCAUAUACAAACGAUGUAUAAAGCCUGAACAUGGCAAAAACAAUCAAGGGAUUUCCUGAAUAUAUGAUGCUGCAGUAAACCUAUUUUUCUAACUGAAAUUAAACCUACCACUUCCUGCUCACGGAUUUUAGUUCAUUUAUAAACUCUGCAUUCUACUCAUACAAGCAUACCACAUCUAAUAUUCUGCUAUAACCCAGAUUAUUGUUACCUUUCUAAACGCAUAAUUAUUAUCAGUUUAUAAUGGAAAUAAAGUACCCUAAUGCAUCCCCUAUUAAGUGACAUUACGAACUGCAGUGUAUGUGUGUACUUCUAUGCUUAUACACAUGCUAUGAAGCAUGGAACCUGACAAGAUAAAUGCAAAGGAUGCCCAACAGAACUCUUGCUCCAUGACCUUAUUUCUAUUGUGGUUGCAGACUUGGGAGUCCCACUUUGCUGAACCUUUUGUACAUGCUGAUAAAGAAAGAGACAUCAUAACAAUUUAACAAAUAAUCUGUGCAAACACUACCUGGGCACUAUGCAAAGAGACAAAACAAAAAAACAUUAACCAAUUGCCUAGGUGUGCCAACUUGCAGUGUUAUCCUGCAUAUGUCAAUCUCUCUUCUUCUUUUUUGAGAAAGCAUAUGAUAAUCUCAUGUGUUCUAAUUUAGCCAAUACAUGCUAUGUGUGUCAACUUGUAGUGUUAUCCUGCAUAUGCCAAUCUCAUACUACGUUCUAAUUUAGCCAAUACAUGCCAAAGCAUUUCAGUCUCACUUGUUUUAGUUUUGCAUAAAGCAGGCAACUAACACAAUAUUGGCCACCGUCUCUCUCGCUGUAGUAGUCUCGCUUAUCGUCUUCUCUUUUUUCGACAGCUGUCCAUAGCCACAACAACACAAAGAAAACUAUCCUUGAGCUUAUGUGAAUAUAAGCGAAUACUGAAUCUGUUCUACAGUAUAACCUCAGCUGACCUGGGAAGCAACAACAACUCCCAUUUCCAAAAGAAAGAUGACAGGAAACUGAAGCCACUAAUGGUUAGAUAAAUACCUGCAAAUGAUUAAUUGUUCAAGACUACUUUGAGAACAAUCACUCUGAGCAAUUAACAAUAAUAAAAGUCACCAACUUAAUUCUCUAGAAGAAGAACAAACCCGUGCAUACACAUAUCAAUGAGCAAAGAAUGUUCAGCCAUGGCGUAGAUACACGCAGAAAGAAACAAAACCAAGAUAAGAAUAUGAAGGUAAAGAGACCGCAAUGUCACCGUUUGUCACAUGUGUCCUACGAACAAACAAACAGAACUACAGUGGCUAGCACCCUGUAAAAAGAAAAUUCGCAUCAAACCUAGAUGUAAGCACAUGUGACACACACGCACACAAGAAGACAUGAGGAUUAAGGAAUGGAAAAACCACCAGUUGUAAACCCAGGCAUCAACUUGCAGCACGAUCAACACCUGCAAAUAACAAACCGGAGCACCGGAGCAGGCGUCUUAGACAAAUCAUAAAGAAAAGAAAAAAUGAAAAAAAGAAUCAGGGGAAUAAGCAGAGCAACAUGGGACAAAAAGGGGCCACGUACAAAUCGGACGGUCGAAGAGAAUACUGCUUACUUUUCCUGAAACAUCGUUUUUAGGGAACCUCUGUUAGGCAAGCUGCAACCCCUCAAACCACACAUAACUCACCGUCAGAGAACUUAACUUUUAAUCUUCCUGUAAAGGGGAAAACUUACUAUGUCAGUCUCAUACAUAUAGUGACAACAUGUGAACCCCGACAAAAAAUUGCUGUGACAACAUGUAUGCAUUAUUCUCCAAAUGUACAGAUAGGAAAAGGCGGAGUUCAACAGUGCCUUAAUAGCAUUCAUGGACAUCACAGUUCAUUGGUCAGUGCAAAAACUGUACAGAGAACAAAAAGGAACAAAACAAAGCCAGGUUUUUACACCUAAAUGGAAUUGUCAAAUGCAGAAAUAACAUGUGUGCAUUUUUCUCCAAAUGUACAGAAAGGAAAAAGGCAGAAGGAAUGGACAUUACGCAUUGCAGUGACACACUACCAAAGCUCAUGGCAUGAGCUGAGACAAUCUAGCAGAGCUCAUUCACAACUAUGUUGGUUUGCACACGUCCAAGAUUAGGCAUACUGCAAAUCCAUCAGUGAGAGCCUGCAACAGAGCGAUGAAUCAAACAACACUGCAAGUGAGAUAUAUGUUUUCCUUGGAUUUCCAUGUGUAGCAACUACAUCAUUUAAAAAUGUUUAUCAUGAAUUCAAGAUCUGUAGGACAUGAAACGCAGCAGGAUCAGCUCAUAGACCUUUCAUCGAACAGGAGGCGAGCAAGGUAACUAAUAAAGAUCUCACCUUGCCGGAGCCCAUGGGUAGGAACCUCGCUUGCCCUUCAUCACCGAGCCCAAUUCCGGGCAUGACGAUCUUCACCUUGCCGUUGCCCCUGUACCGGGGCGGGA